UACGUAGGGGGCAAGCGUUGUCCGGAAUCAUUGGGCGUAAAGAGCGCGUAGGCGGCCCUGUAAGUCCGCUGUGAAAGUCAGGGGCUCAACCCUUGAAAGCCGGCCGAUACUGUCGGACUAGAGUCCGGAAGAGGCAAGUGGAAUUCCCGGUGUAGCGGUGAAAUGCGCAGAUAUCGGGAGGAACACCAAUGGCGAAGGCAGCUUGCUGGGACGGUACUGACGCUGAGACGCGAAAGCGUGGGGAGCAAACAGG
rnacentral:rRNA from 1 species